rnacentral:lncRNA from 1 species
UGGUGAUUAACUGGGAUGUAUUGGAAAGUGUGGGACCUGAACAUGGUGUAGAUGAUACAAAAUAAAGGGUGGAUAUUGUCCUGAUUUUGGCUGGGAUAGAAUUAGUUUUCCUCCUGGGAGAUGGUAUAGUGCAGUGUUUUUGAUUUAGGAAGAGAAUAGUGCUGAUAACACACUGAUGUUUUAGUUGUUGCAGAGCAGUGCUUACCCUAUGUCAAUGACUUUUUAACUUCUUACACUUUCCUGAGGGUGCACAAAAAGGUGGGAAAGGACAGAACCAAGACAUCUGACCCGAACUGGCCAGACCAAUAUUCCAUACCAGAUGACACCAUGCUGAACAAUAAAACUGAUUGGAGUUGGCUGGAGGAUGCUGAAGGGAAGGCUGCUGCUUGGGGUCUGGCUAGGCAUCGGUCAGCAGGUGGUGCAAAAUGUUACAUCUAUAUAAGAAGAGGUAUGAAUUCAGAUGCUGGAAUAAAGGGGGAGGUCCAUGUAUCUAGUCAUUCUGCGUACCAUGAAUUGUGUAAAUUGUGUAACUCCUACAGCAGUUGUGUGAGGUCUGGAAUUGUUAAACAAAUUAUUUUCAUUUUCUUGAGUCCUAGUUAAAUUUAAAGUUUAAUGGAAUUUUUCAGUAAUAAAAUAGAACCUGAUUAAUGACCCAUCAACAUAUUCUUCCUAUAUUUUAUUUAAAAUAUCUAAAAUAAAAUAAUAAAUUAAUAAUAAUAAAAUAAUAAAAUAAAAUAAAAUAUUUUAUUUAAAAUAUCUAAAAAAAAAAAAAAAAGGAAAGGAAAGGAAAGGAAAAAGGUAAAGGCAUGCCUGAUCCAUACUGACCUAUCUGUUUCUUCCUCAAAAUAUUUUCUGGGAAAUGAUAUUAAUUGAAACUAUAUUUUAUUUAUUUAUUUUCUGAGAGUUUAACUGAUUCAGGAGAUUCCAAUGCUAUUUUUUAAUUUUACAGACUGCAGAAAUCUUAG